rnacentral:rRNA from 1 species
UACGUAGGGGGCUAGCGUUGUCCGGAAUCAUUGGGCGUAAAGCGCGUGUAGGCGGCCCGGUAAGUCCGCUGUGAAAGUCGGGGGCUCAACCCUCGAAAGCCGGUGGAUACUGUCGGGCUAGAGUACGGAAGAGGCGAGUGGAAUUCCUGGUGUAGCGGUGAAAUGCGCAGAUAUCAGGAGGAACACCCAUUGCGAAGGCAGCUCGCUGGGACGUUACUGACGCUGAGGCGCGAAAGCGUGGGGAGCAAACAGG